GACGAACGCUGGCGGUGUGCUUAACACAUGCAAGUCGAACGGUAAGGCCCUUUCGGGGGUACACGAGUGGCGAACGGGUGAGUAACACGUGAGUAACCUGCCCUCAUCUCUGGGAUAACAGUCGGAAACGGUUGCUAAUACUGGAUAUGAGCCUGCAAGGCAUCUUGUGGGUUGGAAAGAUUUUUUGGUUGGGGAUGGACUCGCGGCCUAUCAGCUUGUUGGUGAGGUAGUGGCUCACCAAGGCUUCGACGGGUAGCCGGCCUGAGAGGGCGACCGGCCACAUUGGGACUGAGAUACGGCCAAAACUCCUACGGGAGGCAGCAGUGGGGAAUAUUGCACAAUGGACGGAAGUCUGAUGCAGCAACGCCGCGUGCGGGAUGACGGCCUUCGGGUUGUAAACCGCUUUCAAUUGUGACGAAGCUUUUUGGACGGAGCAGAGAAGAGCACCG
rnacentral:rRNA from 2 species